AUAGCGUAUAUUUAAGUUGUUGCAGUUAAAAAGCUCGUAGUUGAAUCUGUGUGCCACGCUGUCGGUUCAUCGCUCGCGAUGUUUAACUGACAUGAUUGUGGGACGUCCUACCGGUGGGCUUAGCUCCUCACGGGGCGGUCCAGCUAAUAUCCCAUCGCGGUGCUCUUCAUCGAGUGUCGAGGUGGGCCGGUACGUUUACUUUGAACAAAUUAGAGUGCUCAAAGCAGGCUAUGUUCGCCUGAAUACUGUGUGCAUGGAAUAAUGGAAUAGGACCUCGGUUCUAUUUUGUUGGUUUUCGGAACCCCGAGGUAAUGAUUAAUAGGGACAGAUGGGGGCAUUCGUAUUGCGACGUUAGAGGUGAAAUUCUUGGAUCGUCGCAAGACGAACAGAAG
rnacentral:rRNA from 1 species